UCAUCUUGGAUUUUCUGUUUAAUCAGAACUGAGUGUAUUAUGGUAAGUUUAAAACGAAUGGUACUGAAUGGAUACUGAUGCAAUUAAUUUGACAGUAAAUGAUUAUAUUAAGUUUUUAAUGAAACGAGUAUUUAUUUUAUGUCGCUGUUUUUAUUUUCCAAAUAAAUUAUUCAAAAGAUUGACGAAAAAGAAUGGAAAACAUGUCAGGAUGAAAAAAAGUCAGAAAAAUCAUCGGAAACGAAGCGAGAGGAGAAUCACCAAGUCCAGUGUCCGUACUUUCCAGAUGAGAAGCAGAGAAGCAGGAAGGAUGGUGGCUCUACGCUGCAGAUCGGAAAAAUAACAUGUUGAUUACUGCACCUGUUCAUAUAGUGUCACUUAAAGAUGAAAAGGAGAGCGCAGAUAGCUCGCAAUCUUCAGCGGCAGCGGUACGGCUACGUGUUCGGCUUCAACAUGUUCAUGGCGCUAAUCGUCGAACCCUCCUUCUGCGUUGAUGUUUCCGAUUCCUGGAAGUGAAAUGUGCGUUUACGAAGUUUGCAGACAUAAACACAGACGUACGCUGUGAACAGCACUGCCAUAACUCCAAAGUUGCCACCGUACACAUUGAACUGGAAACAAACAUGAUUGCGUUGUUCUUAUGGAACGUGAAGUGAUGCAAUUAUAUACUUGAUUGGUAUUUAAUUCAGAGUUACAACCUUACAUUAUUUUCGAGCACAGUCACCUCAUUGUGUGUGGUAUACACUAUGGACCUCUAUAAUUAUAAUCGAAAUUAUGAGGUUAUCAGCUAA